rnacentral:rRNA from 1 species
GAUGAACGCUGGCGGCGUGCUUAACACAUGCAAGUCGAACGGAAAGGCCCAAGCUUGCUUGGGUACUCGAGUGGCGAACGGGUGAGUAACACGUGGGUGAUCUGCCCUGCACUUCGGGAUAAGCCUGGGAAACUGGGUCUAAUACCGGAUAGGACGAUGGUUUGGAUGCCAUUGUGGAAAGUUUUUUCGGUGUGGGAUGAGCUCGCGGCCUAUCAGCUUGUUGGUGGGGUAAUGGCCUACCAAGGCGUCGACGGGUAGCCGGCCUGAGAGGGUGUACGGCCACAUUGGGACUGAGAUACGGCCCAGACUCCUACGGGAGGCAGCAGUGGGGAAUAUUGCACAAUGGGCGCAAGCCUGAGGCAGCGACGCCGCGUGGGGGAUGACGGCCUUAGGGUUGUAAACUCCUUUCGCUAGGGACGAAGCGUUUUUGUGACGGUACCUGGAGAAGAAGCACCGGCUAACUACGUG